rnacentral:tmRNA from 3 species
UUUCUUGUAUCCGUGGGGCUAAGCGCUUAUAUUGACUGGUAAUGGUAGUGAACCAAAGAUUGGAAUAGGCGAACCGGACGUGGCUUCGACGCCACCACCUCCACCAACAGCGGCCGUUAUUUAUGGUUUUUGGCUGUUGCUGAUGGGGGUGAAUUGGGAUCGACGGGCGUAAUAAAGGGUCUAAGGCUACUCGGUGAGACACGCCGUUAAUGUUCAACAAGCAAUAGUUGCAAAUGACAACGAAGCUUUGGCUGUUGCUGCCUAACGGCAGUUAGCCUGAAUAAAACUCCUAGCGGUUAAGACCCUCUAGGCGGGGCCCGGGGGCGCCUGGCAACAGAAGCCCUCACU